GACGAACGCUGGCGGCGUGCUUAACACAUGCAAGUCGAACGGAAAGGCCCUGCUUUUGUGGGGUGCUCGAGUGGCGAACGGGUGAGUAACACGUGAGUAACCUGCCCUUGACUUUGGGAUAACUUCAGGAAACUGGGGCUAAUACCGGAUAGGAGCUCCUGCUGCAUGGUGGGGGUUGGAAAGUUUCGGCGGUUGGGGAUGGACUCGCGGCUUAUCAGCUUGUUGGUGGGGUAGUGGCUUACCAAGGCUUUGACGGAUAGCCGGCCUGAGAGGGGGACCGGCGACAUUGGGACUGAGAGACGGCCCAGACUCGUACGGGAGGCAGCAGUGGGGAAUAUUGCACAAUGGGCGGAAGCCUGAUGCAGCAACGCCGCGUGCGGGAUGACGGCCUUCGGGUUGUAAACCGCUUUCGCCUGUGACGAAGCGUGAGUGACGGUAAUGGGUAAAGAAGCACCGGCUAACUACGUG
rnacentral:rRNA from 1 species